rnacentral:misc_RNA from 1 species
UCCGGCUUAUCACCGGCAGUUUCUUUAGAGUGCCCAACUAAAUGGUGGCAACUAAGGACGAGGGUUGCGCUCGUUGCGGGACUUAACCCAACACCUCACGGCACGAGCUGACGACAGCCAUGCAGCACCUGUGUGAGGCCCCGAAGGACACCGUAUCUCUACGGCUUUUCCCCACAUGUCAAGCCUUGGUAAGGUUCUUCGCGUUGCAUCGAAUUAAACCACAUGCUCCACCGCUUGUGCGGGUCCCCGUCAAUUCCUUUGAGUUUUAGCCUUGCGGCCGUACUCCCCAGGCGGGGCGCUUAAUGCGUUAGCUACGGCACGGAUCCCGUGGAAGGAAACCCACACCUAGCGCCCACCGUUUACGGCGUGGACUAC